rnacentral:rRNA from 1 species
AUUGAACGCUGGCGGCAUGCCUUACACAUGCAAGUCGAACGGUAACAGGUCUUCGGAUGCCGACGAGUGGCGAACGGGUGAGUAAUACAUCGGAACGUGCCUAGUAGUGGGGGAUAACUACUCGAAAGAGUGGCUAAUACCGCAUGAGAUCUACGGAUGAAAGCAGGGGAUCGAAAGACCUUGUGCUACUAGAGCGGCCGAUGGCAGAUUAGGUAGUUGGUGGGAUAAAAGCUUACCAAGCCGACGAUCUGUAGCAGGUCUGAGAGGACGAUCAGCCACACUGGGACUGAGACACGGCCCAGACUCCUACGGGAGGCAGCAGUGGGGAAUUUUGGACAAUGGGCGAAAGCCUGAUCCAGCAAUGCCGCGUGCAGGAUGAAGGCCUUCGGGUUGUAAACUGCUUUUGUACGGAACGAAAAGCCCUGGGUUAAUACCCUGGGGUCAUGACGGUACCGUAAGAAUAAGCACCGGCUAACUACGUGCCAGCCGCCGCGGUAAAAC